AUUAGGGUAGCGAGCCCGGAACACGCAAGAGACUUAAAAUCCCACCACGAAGGUUCAAAUCCUUCCCCUAACC
rnacentral:tRNA from 1 species